rnacentral:rRNA from 1 species
GACGAACGCUGGCGGCGUGCUUAACACAUGCAAGUCGAACGGAAAGGCCCUGCUUUUGUGGGGUGCUCGAGUGGCGAACGGGUGAGUAACACGUGAGUAACCUGCCCUUGACUUUGGGAUAACUUCAGGAAACUGGGGCUAAUACCGGAUAGGAGCUCCUGCUGCAUGGUGGGGGUUGGAAAGUUUCGGCGGUUGGGGAUGGACUCGCGGCUUAUCAGCUUGUUGGUGGGGUAGUGGCUUACCAAGGCUUUGACGGGUAGCCGGCCUGGGAGGGUGACCGGCCACAUUGGGACUGAGAUACGGACCAGACUCCUACGGGAGGCAGAAGUGGGGAAUAUUGCACAAUGGGCGGAAGCCUGAUGCAGCAACGCCGCGUGCGGGAUGACGGCCUUCGGGUUGUAAACCGCUUUCGCCUGUGACGAAGCGUGAGUGACGGUAAUGGGUAAAGAAGCACCGGCUAACUACGUG